CCCUGACAGUCGCAUUGGGCGGCUGACUUAACCCACGACAGGAGAUAAUCAUG
rnacentral:sRNA from 12 species